ACGUGAGUAACCUGCCCCCAAGAGUGGGAUAGCCCCGGGAAACUGGGAUUAAUACCGCAUAAAAUCGCAAGAUUAAAGCAGCAAUGCGCUUGGGGAUGGGCUCGCGUCCUAUUAGUUAGUUGGUGAGGUAACGGCUCACCAAGGCGAUGACGGGUAGCCGGUCUGAGAGGAUGUCCGGCCACACUGGAACUGAGACACGGUCCAGACACCUACGGGUGGCAGCAGUCGAGAAUCAUUCACAAUGGGGGAAACCCUGAUGGUGCGACGCCGCGUGGGGGAAUGAAGGUCUUCGGAUUGUAAACCCCUGUCAUGUGGGAGCAAAUUAAAAAGAUAGUACCACAAGAGGAAGAGACGGCUAACUACGUGCCAGCA
rnacentral:rRNA from 1 species